rnacentral:rRNA from 1 species
UACGAAGGGGGCUAGCGUUGCUCGGAAUCACUGGGCGUAAAGCGCACGUAGGCGGAUUGCUAAGUCAGGGGUGAAAUCCUGGAGCUCAACUCCAGAACUGCCUUUGAUACUGGCGAUCUUGAGUCCGGGAGAGGUGAGUGGAACUGCGAGUGUAGAGGUGAAAUUCGUAGAUAUUCGCAAGAACACCAGUGGCGAAGGCGGCUCACUGGCCCGGUACUAACGCUGAGGUGCGAAAGCGUGGGGAGCAAACAGG